ensembl:snRNA U6 U6 spliceosomal RNA
GCUUGCUUCAGCAGCACAUACUAAAAUUGGAAUUAUACAGAGAAGAUCAGCAUAGCCCCUGUACAAGAAUGACGCAUAGAAUUAGUGAAGUGUUUCAUAUUUUU